GAUGAACGCUGGCGGCGUGCCUAAUACAUGCAAGUCGAGCGAACAGAUGAGGAGCUUGCUCCUCUGACGUUAGCGGCGGACGGGUGAGUAACACGUGGAUAACCUACCUAUAAGACUGGGAUAACUUCGGGAAACCGGAGCUAAUACCGGAUAAUAUAUUGAACCGCAUGGUUCAAUAGUGAAAGACGGUUUUGCUGUCACUUAUAGAUGGAUCCGCGCCGCAUUAGCUAGUUGGUAAGGUAACGGCUUACCAAGGCAACGAUGCGUAGCCGACCUGAGAGGGUGGUCGGCCACACUGGAACUGGAGCAACGUCCAGACUCCUACGGGGAGGAAGAAGAAGGAAUCUUCCGCAAUUGGCGAAAGCCUGACGGAGCAACGCCGCGUGAGUGAUGAAGGUCUUCGGAUCGUAAAACUCUGUUAUUAGGGAAGAACAAAUGUGUAAGUAACUAUGCACGUCUUGACGGUACCUAAUCAGAAAGCCACGGCUAACUACGUG
rnacentral:rRNA from 1 species